GCGCUGGCGGCGUGCUUAACACAUGCAAGUCGAACUUUUUUUUUGUGGAAAGCCCUUCGGGGACGGAAGCAAAAUGAAAGUGGCGAACGGGUGAGUAACACGUGAGCAACCUACCUUACACAGGGGGAUAGCCGUUGGAAACGACGAUUAAUACCGCAUGAGACCACAAAGCCACAUGGCUUAGGGGUAAAAGAUUUAUCGGUGUAAGAUGGGCUCGCGUCUGAUUAGCUAGUUGGAAGGGUAAAGGCCUACCAAGGCAACGAUCAGUAGCCGGUCUGAGAGGAUGAACGGCCACAUUGGAACUGAGACACGGUCCAAACUCCUACGGGAGGCAGCAGUGGGGAAUAUUGCACAAUGGGGGGAACCCUGAUGCAGCGACGCCGCGUGAGCGAAGAAGGUUUUCGAAUCGUAAAGCUCUGUCCUAUGAGAAGAUAAUGACGGUAUCAUAGGAGGAAGCCCCGGCUAAAUACGUGCCAGCAGCCGCGGUAAUACGUAUGGGGCGAGCGUUGUCCGGAAUUAUUGGGCGUAAAGGGUACGUAGGCGGCCUCUUAAGUCAGGUGUGAAAGCGUGAGGCUUAGCCUCAUUAAGCACUUGAAACUGGAAGGCUUGAGUGAAGGAGAGGAAAGUGGAAUUCCUAGUGUAGCGGUGAAAUGCGUAGAUAUUAAGAGGAAUACCGGUGGCGAAGGCGACUUUCUGGACUUUUACUGACGCUCAGGUACGAAAGCGUGGGGAGCAAACAGGAUUAGAUACCCUGGUAGUCCACGCCGUAAA
rnacentral:rRNA from 1 species